rnacentral:rRNA from 1 species
UACGUAGGGGGCAAGCGUUGUCCGGAAUCAUUGGGCGUAAAGAGCGUGUAGGCGGCCCGGUAAGUCCGCUGUGAAAGUCCAGGGCUCAACCCUGGGAUGCCGGUGGAUACUGUCGGGCUCGAGUCUGGAAGAGGAGAGUGGAAUUCCUGGUGUAGCGGUGAAAUGCGCAGAUAUCAGGAGGAACACCAAUGGCGAAGGCAGCACUCUGGGACGGGACUGACGCUGAGACGCGAAAGCGUGGGGAGCAAACAGG